rnacentral:rRNA from 1 species
GACGAACGCUGGCGGCGUGCCUAAUACAUGCAAGUAGAACGCUGAAGAGAGGAGCUUGCUCUUCUUGGGUGAGUUGCGAACGGGUGAGUAACGCGUAGGUAACCUGCCUUGUAGCGGGGGAUAACUAUUGGAAACGAUAGUUAAUACCGCAUAACAAUGGGUGACACAUGUCAUUUAUUUGAAAGGGGCAACUGCUCCACUACAAGAUGGACCUGCGUUGUAUUAGCUAGUAGGUGAGGUAACGGCUCACCUAGGCGACGAUACAUAGCCGACCUGAGAGGGUGAUCGGCCACACUGGGACUGAGACACGGCCCAGACUCCUACGGGAGGCAGCAGUAGGGAAUCUUCGGCAAUGGGGGCAACCCUGACCGAGCAACGCCGCGUGAGUGAAGAAGGUUUUCGGAUCGUAAAGCUCAGUUGUAAGUCAAGAACGAGUGUGAGAGUGGAAAGUUCGCACUGUGACGGUAGCUUACCAGAAAGGGACGGCUAACUACGUGC